AGUCGAGCGGUAACAAAGUAGCUUGCUACUUGCUGACGAGCGGCGGACGGGUGAGUARUGCUUGRGAAUAUGCCUUUACGUGGGGGACAACAGUUGGAAACSASUGCUAAUACCGCAUARUGUCUUCRGACCAARRGAGGRGACUCUUCGGASCCUUUCGCGUAAAGAUUASCCCAAGUGRGAUUAGCUAGUUGGUAAGGUARUGGCUUACCARGGMSACAUCCCUACUGGUUUGAGARGAUGAUCASCCACUCUGRGACUGASACACGSCCCASACUCCUACGGGAGGCAGCAGUGGGGAAUAUUGCACARUGGGMGAAAGCCUGAUGCASCCRUGCCGCGUGUGUGAAGAASGCCUUCGGGUUGUAAAGCUCUUUCASUCGUGAGGAAGGGGUAGUAAUUAAUACUUGCUAUCUUUGACGUUMGCGACAGAAGAARGACCGGCUAACUCCGUGCCAGCASCCGCGGUAAUACRGAGGGUCMGAGCGUUAMUCRGAAUUACUGGGCGUAAAGCGUACGCASGCGGCUUGUUAASCCAGAUGUGAAMUCCCCGGGCUCAACCUGGGAAUGGYAUUUGGAACUGGCAAGCUAGAGUUUUGUAGAGGGUGGUAGAAUUUCRGGUGUAGCGGUGAARUGCRUAGAGAUCUGAAGGAAUACCAGUGGMGAASGCGGCCACCUGGACAAAAACUGACGCUCAUGUAMRAAAGCGUGGGGAGCAAACARGAUUAGAUACCCUGGUAGUCCACGCCGUAMACGAUGUCUACUAGUUGUCUGUGAGUUUAACUCGUGGGUAACGCAGCUAACGCAUUAAGUAGACCGCCUGGAGAGUACGGCCGCAAGGUUAAMACUCAAAUGAAUUGACGGGGGCCCGCACAAGCGGUGGAGCAUGUGGUUUAAUUCGAUGCAACGCGAAGAACCUUACCUGCCCGUGACAUACUGAGAACUUACCAGAGAUGGUUUGGUGCCUUCGGGAACUCAGAUACRGGUGCUGCAUGGCUGUCCUC
rnacentral:rRNA from 1 species